UCAUCAAAAGGUGCAUGGGAUGAUGAUAAAGGCAGUGCUGGAUUCCGUGACUUCCGUAUGUUUAACCAAGCACUACUAGCACGACAAGCUUGGCGUUUGAUCACUAGGCCGAAAAGUCUAUGCGCACAAGUACUCAAAGCCCGGUACUACGCCGAGCGAAAGCUCGAAGAUAAAGUGUUUACCGAACAAAAAGGAUCUCUCUCUGGCUUAGCAGAGAAUGUACAUCAUGCCACAUAAUAAACUCCGAAAACCUGGAGAUGCCUGACAAUAAUAACUCUUGACUUAUUAAAAGGGGUGCAGGACAUCAAAUUAGAUAGUGACACGACCUCCAUCCUUGUUGAAAAGAACGAGGAUGUUGUGCCCUAUCCAAAGUUCAUUUGCAAGUGCAAACUCUUCCCAUCCGUAGUUCCGGACCUGAACCCAAUCCUGCCAUCAGCGCAUAUGAAGUAUUUUGCUUCUCUGUUCUUGUCCUGUUUUGUCCAUCACAAAGUAGCGCCUCUCCAGUAGCGGUGAUGUCUAGCGCGCCUUUGGAAUGCACUGGAGUUUGAAAGAAAACCAAACAUGAUAAAAUGAAUAAAUAAGAGAAACAAAUAAAACUGAGGUACUGAGAAACUCAGAAAAUAUGGAUAAAACUGGAAAACUAAAGAAGAAUGGAUGCACAAAAAUGAGGAAUAACACUUAGAAACCCAAAAGAAUCUGAUAAAACUGAAGAACUAAGGAAGACUGAAUAAAUAAGAUCAACAGAUUUAACUGUGGGACACUGAAUAACUAAGAAGAAACUAAGGAACUAAGGAAGACUGAAUAAAUAAGAUUAACAUAUUUAACUGAGGGACAUUGAAUAACUAAGAAGAAACCAAGGAACAAAACUGAAUAAUGAAGAAACUAAAAUAGAGGGAAUAGAAAUGUUUAAACUCGGGAACAGAGAAGACUGAUAAGAGAGAACAAGAACUAAGAGAGAGGACUGUUAGAAAAUCCUUGCUACUCCAUCACUUGACGUGCUGCUUUGUUCCCUGUACUCAACGUUGGAUGAGCCGCAAUCAGACUCAUAUACUCCUCCUGCUGAUACGAGCUCUGUGAACAUGAAAUUAAAGGCUGUGAAAAAGGAUGUAUGAAAGGAUUACAUAGAUGGAGGUGUAGCCAGAGGCGCUGUUGCAAGCUGAUGACAUACAUGACAACACCACGGCAUUUUAUGUGGACUCUACUGGCCACACGAAUGAUUAAGAACAUGGCCUAUUACAAAAUGUAUAUGGAAUAACCUGCAUGGAAAUAUGGGCAUGUACAAAACAAAAAUGAUGUUUUGGUUCUGCGUCGGCUAUUAGCAGACUAUUGAUACUGUAAUAGUAGCAGAGGAAGGAUUCGUCCAGUGGCUCUGGUGGCUGUACAGAAACCUCCAUAAUAAUCAGUGGAUCCUCAAAACUGUAAACAAACACAAGGGCUGUCUCUUCAUUUGAUCAAAGAGGAAACAAGGCAAAUAUUGCAGUUCGAAUUAGCAGGAACAAACACAUGCAGUUAACAUAUGAAAAUAUGGUUUCCUUUGCAAGCAGACAAUUAUCACAUCAGCAUACAGUUUAGAUGCCUGGACAUAUCCAGGAUCCAAUUGAACAGAGCCAUCUAUCAUCCUAGACAGUAGCAUUUGGUGGCUUUUACAUGUUUCUGCUUGACGGUACAUCACACAGAAAAUAAUGCUCAUUGAAUCAACAAAAAUCACAAGUAAUCAGAAGGAUUGUCCGCCUCAUAGAAGGGAAAACAACUGUUGUCUGAAGCAGAACAUAUCAGGAAAAGUACUCUCUCCGUCCCAUAAUAUAAGACCUUUUUUGACACUAUCAUGAUAUCAAAAAGGGUCUUAUAUUAUGGGACGGAGGAGUAGCAUAUAUGUAGUUCUGUUAUUCUCUAGAAAUAGGCAUUUUUUUCCAACUGGGGUAACCCCUUUCCCAUUAAUUUCUCAACGGAAAUAACAUUGUUGAUUACACCAACUAGAUCAGGUAAAGGAAGCGGGAAGAAGGGAAGAGCGAGUUCGGGCAUAUAGAGGGAAACUUGCCGCGGAUGCUUGGCCUCAAAGCAUCUGCUAGGGGGGAAAAAACCUUCAACACCAUAAAAGUCAUGGAAAUAGACAUAUAUACAUCUUCUGACUUAUAUUCAGUGGGUUUUCCUAGCCCAUAAGGAUUGUUCCCGUUUGGAGUGUGGGUGGAUCACAUAAAAAAGCAAGAUGUCAUAAAGAUUUUUUUAUGAGCAGUAGACCCCACAUGUCAUAGACAUAAAAACUGUGGCAAGAUUCCCUAAGGCAAGCCAAAGUUUGGCUAAGAAUUUGAACAACUCAAGUAAGGCAAGUGUGGCAAAAAUAAUAUGGCAAUGCAUGGCAAAGAUAGUCACGAGGGCACUGGAGCAGCUCAUGGAAGGGAAGAAGAGCGCGACAGAGCUGCGAGCUCGAGCAGUUCGGCUGGUGACCAUGGCAAGCCUGGAAAGGACCGUGGCAAGCAUAAGAAAAAGGGCAAGUUUGACAUCACCAAGGUGAGAUGUUACAACUGCAAUGAGAAGGGUCAUUUUCAGUCAGAUUGUCCUGAGCCGAAGCAUGAGAAGGCAAAUCUCGCCGAGAAAGAAGAUGAUGACCCAACACUCCUCAUGACGGAGAGGUGCGAACUGGUGUUGUCUGAUUCAGUUGCAGAGGAACAGGGUAUUCCUCAAUGAAGAGAAGGUGGUACCGAAGCUCACAGGCAAGCAGGAGAUGUCCUGGUACCUUGACACCGGGGCAAGUAAUCACAUGACCAGCAGAGCUGAGAAAUUUGCUGAACUUGAUCGGUCUGUGACAGGAAGGACCCCAUUCAGAGAUGGUUCUGCAGUUGAGAUUUGUGGAUGUGGAUCAGUACUGUUGCAGUGUCACACUGGAGAACAUCGAGUACUGUCAAAUGUGUAUUUCAUACCUCGGCUUAAAAAUAACAUAAUAAGCCUAGGUCAGCUUGAUGAGAAUGGAUGCAAAUACUCAGCUGAAGAUGGUGUGAUGACAGUGUUAGAUCGUCAGAGAAAUGUCUUGGCAAGAGUGUGGAGGACCAAGAACAAAAUGUACAUUCUGAAUAUUCAGCAGACUGAACCCAUUUGCUUGAUGGUGCAUGCAAAGGAAUCAUCGUGGCUGUGGCACAUGAGGUAUGUUGUAGAAUCAGGGGAGAGAGGGGUGGCGGCUGGGAUAGAAAGAUGGCCUGGUAUUGUAUUCUAUUGGAGUUAGGGUUUCCUGUACAAGGGGGCAGCACAUAUAUAGGCUGCAGGGUUACAUGGGCCACAUGGGCCACAUGGGCCACAUGGGCCAUAAGCGCGCGCGCACACACACACACACUGAAAUACAGAUAAGACACAGCCCAACACUCCCCCUCAAGAGGGAUGAUAGAUAUCUAUCAUGCCCAUCUUGUCACAAGCAAGAUUGUUCUCCCUGGUUCCCAAACCUUUUGUCAAACAAUCGGCGACUUGUUGUCCAGAGCUCACAUGAGUUAUCUUGAUGAUUCCUGCAUCCAGUUUCUCUUUGAUAAAGAAUCUGUCUAUCUCCACAUGUUUUGUUCUGUCAUGUUGCACUGGAUUUUUAGCAAUGCUGAUUGCAGAUUUGUUGUCACACCACACAUUCAGAGGAUCUUGUCUGAGCACUUUCAGCUCAAGCAGAAGGCCUCUUACCCAUAACAUCUCACUCAGCCCUUGAGACAUUGCCCUAUACUCAGCUUCUGCAGUUGAUUUUGACACCACCGGUUGUUUUUUGCUUCUCCAUGAUACCAAAUUUCCACCAACAAACACACAAUAGCCAGAGGUUGAUCGUCUAUCAUCAAGACAGCUAGCCCAAUCAGCAUCGCUAUAACCGUCAACAUUCAAAUGGCCAUUACUCUUGAACCAGAGUCCCAUACCAGGGCUGCCCUUUAGAUACCUCAUGAUUCUAUAGACUGCAUCAAGGUGUCCACUUCUGGGGUCAUGCAUAUAUCUACUUACUACACUUACUGCAUAUGUAAUAUCUGGUCUAGUGUGACACAAGUACAGAAGUUUGCCAACCAAUUGUUGAUAUUUUGCUUUGUUAACUUGUUCACCCAUCUGUGCUGUCAAUUUGUGAUUUUGUUCAAUGGGAGUUGGGGCUGCUCUACAUCCAAGCAUUCCCAUAUCACUUAGGAGCUCUAAGGUAUACUUCCGCUGAGACAGGGCUAUUCCCCUCUUUGAUCUUGCAACUUCGAUACCCAGGAAAUAUUUUAGCUGACCAAGAUCCUUAACUUCAAAUGCUUUGCCUAGGCAUUUCUUUAGUCUUCCAAUCUCCUCUUCAUUGUCUCCCGUUAUUAUGAUGUCAUCCACAUAUACUGCAAGAAUAGUAAUCUGUUGCUUGGAAUGUUUAUAGAAAACAGUUUGAUCUCCAUUGCAUUGUUUAUACUCCAUACUGCAAACUGCUUGCCUGAACCGGUCAAACCAAGCCCUUGGCGAUUACUUCAAACCAUAGAGAGAUUUUCUGAAUCUACAAACCUUCCCAACAGUCCCAGGUGUAGAAAGUCCAGGAGGAAUUUCCAUGUAGACUUCCUCUUGUAGAUCUCCAUGUAAAAAGGCAUUUUUUACAUCAAGUUGGUGUAGUGGCCAUCCAAAGUUAGCUGCACAUGAGAUUAGAAUCCUCACUGUAUUCAUCUUUGCAACUGGGGCGAAUGUUUCGUCAUAAUCAAUACCAUACGUUUGGCUGUACCCUCUGGCUACCAGUCUUGCCUUGUAACGCUCAACCUUACCCUCAGGAUUCUGCUUCACUGUGAAGAUCCACUUACAACUGACUGCCUUCUUCCCAUAUGGAAGAUUUGCUAGCUCCCAUGUUUUGUUCUUUCUCAGGGCCUCCAACUCUUCCCUCAUGGCGUCACACCACUUUGGAUCUUGUCUUGCUUCUUUCCAGUCUUUAGGAACAAUCACGGCUUGAAGUGAUGCGACAAAUGCUCUAAAUGAAGGUGAUAGGGCUUCAUAGGUGACAUAAUUACUGAUGUCAUGCUCAAGAUUGCCCUUGCUCAAAGUUUUCCUUGCUACUUCCUUCUUGAGAGCAAUUGGCAGGUUAGGUGAUGCUUCUUCAGUACUUGAAUUUUCAUAUGACUCCACUUCAGAUGAGCUUCCUGUCGCUUGAGUUUCUUCUGACUGCUCCCCCUGUUCCAUAGUUUCUUUUGACUGCUCCUCAUGCACUUGUUCCUCCACACCUCUCUUCCUUCUUGUAUACACAUGAGGAUUCCUUUCCUCAUUUGGUCUCUGCCACCUCUGCUGUUCAGCCCCAUCAACUACAACUGGAAUGAAGGAUCCCACUAUUUUCGGGGUUGGUAUUGGCUGCUCCUUGUCGCCAUUGGUGCUGCACUCACCACUCAAGUUGCACUCCCCCUCUUGACCACCCUGCAUAGAUUGUGAGUGGUCAAGUUCUUCGAAUAAAGUGCUGAGAUCUGUCUUCUCACCAUAGAAAGGCUCAGAUUCUCGAAAGGUGACAUCCAUACUUACAAAUGUGCGCCUUUCAGCAGGACUCCAACACUUAUAGCCUCGCUGCCCUGCAGGAUAUCCAACAAAUAUGCAUUUUACAGCUCGUGGAUCCAGCUUUCCCACUGCUGGUCUGUGAUCUCUAACGAAGCAGGUGCACCCAAAUAACUUCGGAAGAACUGAGAAUUUGUUCUCCCCAAAUAGCAUCUCACAUGGGGACUUCAUACCAAGCAUUUUUGAAGGCAUCCGGUUGAUCAGGAACGUUGCAGUCAUGACAGCUUCACUCCACAAGAAUUUUGGCACAUUCAUGGUGAACAUAAGUGAUCGAGCCACUUCUAAAAUGUGUCGGUUUUUCCUUUCUGCAACACCAUUCUGAGCAGGGGUAUCUGGACAUGAUGUUUGGUGCAUUAUGCCUUGUGCUGACAGGAAACCUCCAAAUUGCUUGUUUACAUAUUCAGUUCCAUUGUCAGAUCUGAUCACCUGCACCUGCACAUUGAAUUGGUUUCGCACAUAGGCAUAAAACUCCUGAAAACAUUGGAAUACCUCAUCUUUAUGUCGCAUGAGGUACACCCAAGUCAUGCGAGUGUGGCAGUCUAUAAAUGUCACAAAAUAUUUCAUUCCACUAACAGAAACAACAGGGCAUGUCCACACAUCAGAGUGAAUCAGCAUAAACGGGGAUAUACUCCUUAGCCCCUUACUCAAAUAUGAGAUUCUUGUGUGCUUUGCAUAUUCACAUGCAUCACACACAAGCUUACUCUUGUCUACUCCACGCAUUACAUCAGGAAACAUCUUACUCAUCUUAUCAAAAGCCAUAUGCCCCAUGCGACAGUGAUGGAUCAUCGCCAUUGUCUCACUUACUCCAACUAGUACAGCCAAAAUAGGACUAGCACCAGACCUAGACACAUCACGAUCCAUAUACCACAAUCCACUACGCCUGGUUCCUUCCCAAGUUUCCUUCCAGUCAUCCUCUCCUGAAUUAAACAUAUUUUCUUAUCAAGAGUUAUUCGGCAAUCUAUCUGAUCAAUCAAAGCACUUAGAGAAAGCAAGUUCACAGGAAAAGCUGGAACAUGUAAUACAUCAGAUAAUUUAAUAGUGGGUGUACAUUGAACUGAUCCAACUCCUUUAAUCGGUUGUGAGGUGCCAUCAGCAGUUUGUAUUGUUUCACAAUGUGUAAUUGGGUACUGAGUAUAUGAUUCAAACUCAGUUGAGGUACCUGCAACAUGCUUGGAUGCUCCAGAAUCUAAUAUCCAAUCUGGAAGGAAAUCAUGUGUGGAUAUAGAUGCAUUUGCAAAGUUACCUUCCCCUGUGUAGACAAAGUGGGCAAAGUUCCCAAAGGUGUUGUCCUCCUGGCUUCUACUCUUCGACUCCCCUUGAGAGGUUGUUGACGUCCCUUCUUCUUGCGUUGCCAAGUUAGCCAAGUUUGCUUUGAAGCCACUGGAAUAAUUCGAACCCCUCGAGUUACCUCUGCCUCUAACUCCCCGGUAUCCACCUCGGCUGUAACCUCUUCCCCUACCACGUAUUUCUCUGCGUUGUGCUGUGCAAUUGAUGCUUAUGUGACCUUUCUCUCCACAGUUGAAGCACUCUCUUGUCUCCUUCCAUUCAGACACAGUAAAUGCUGAGCGAGAUGCAUUCGCUUCUCCAGUCCUGGUCAACUUCAACCUGACCUCCUCCUGUGCCAUUGCUGCAACUGCCUCCUCAAGCGAGGGGAGCUUUGGCUGAUGAAACAACCCAGCACGCCUUCCUUCAAAUUCUGAGCUAAGUCCCUUCAAGAAUUUCAUCACUCUCCUACGCUCUACCCACUUCUUAGUAGCAACUAUACAUUCUGAAUGUGGUAACUCCAGUGGAUCAUAGUGGUCUAAGUCAGCCCACAAAUGCUGCAAUUCUGCUACAUACUCCAUCACCGACUUAUCCCCUUGUUUUAGCUCAUUUACUCUAUCCUCAAUCUGCGCCAUAAGCAUUAUGUUCCCUUUCCCGGAGUACAAUGUUUCCAGGGUUUUCCAUACCUCUGCUGCAUGGGGAAGAGUCUCCACAGGUGCUGCAAUGGAUGGGGUCAAGGAGUUCAGCAGCCAUGCCACCACCAGAGAGUCAAUGACACUCCACUUCUUCCACUCUUCACUUGCCCUGUUCGCCGGUUCAUCUACUUCCCCUCUGACAUAGCCUUCUAGCCCCUUUGUCCUCAAUAUUAGCAAUGCCCUUCUGGACCAGCUUAGGUAGUUUGUGACCAGCUUAGGUAGUUUGUGACCCCUUCCAUCUUGAUUUCAUUUGGCAUCAGUUCUAUUUUCUGUAUCACCUCAGGCUGAGGAACAAGCGCACCUGGGGAAGCCACACCCUCUGCCUUGACAGUGAUGAGCUCAGCUAGCUUCUCCAACGCCUUUACCAACCCCUGGUUGUCCCCCAUCUUUCCAAUCUUGAAUCACACCACUAGCAACCUCCAGCAACCACUGCUCCCCACUUUCACCUCUCUACUACCUCCUCCCCUCAGAUCUGGGAUUCCACCUCUCCUUCUUCCACACAAGCCUUCUCCUCUCAGACAAUCGCCAGCAAGCACAACCAGCCAACCACCAUCACCACUGCUGGGAUUGGGAACCCAAGCUCUGACACCAUGUAGAAUCAGGGGAGAGGGGGGUGGCGGCUGGGAUAGAAAGAUGGCCUGGUAUUGUAUUCUAUUGGAGUUAGGGUUUCCUGUACAAGGGGGCAGCACAUAUAUAGGCUGCAGGGUUACAUGGGCCACAUGGGCCACAUGGGCCAUAAGCGCGCGCACACACACACACACACACACUGAAAUACAGAUAAGACACAGCCCAACAUAUGUUCACGUGAAUUUCCGUUCACUUCGUUCUCUAGCAGUAGAAGGCAUGGUCGAAGGAAUGCCAAUCCUGGAGCAAGUGGAGCAGGUGUGUGACGGCUGCAUGAUAGCAAAGCAGCACCGCCUCCCAUUUCCCUCUCAGACAAGCUACCGUGCUUCACAGCAGCCGCAACUGAUUUAUGGUGACUUGUGUGGUCCCAUCCACCUGAGACACCGGGAGGCAAGCACUACUUUCUCCUGGUUGUGACGAUUACUCCCGGUACAUGUGCCUGGCUCUCCUCAUCACUAAGGAUGAGGCACUUGAGGCAUUCAGAAAAAUUCAGAAACUUGCAGAAGCAGAGCGGGAUCUAAAACUGAAAGCCAUCAGAAUGGAUCGUGGAGGUGAAUUCACCUCAAAGGGGUUCUUCACUUGCCCCCCCUCCCCCCUCGGGCUCUCGCGACCGCGUCGCCCCCGCGGGCAACCGGCCGCGCCCCGGCUCCUCCUCCGCCAGCUCCCCCUCUUUUCCCCCUCCCCGCCGCCGUCGCCGGCGUUUGCCGCCGAGCAUGGCCCGGGCGACGCUGGUGGCGGCGCCCCCCGGCCAUUCCCCUCUCGGUUGCUCUCCGACNNNNNNNNNNNNNNNNNNNNNNNNNNNNNNNNNNNNNNNNNNNNNNNNNNNNNNNNNNNNNNNNNNNNNNNNNNNNNNNNNNNNNNNNNNNNNNNNNNNNNNNNNNNNNNNNNNNNNNNNNNNNNNNNNNNNNNNNNNNNNNNNNNNNNNNNNNNNNNNNNNNNNNNNNNNNNNNNNNNNNNNNNNNNNNNNNNNNNNNNNNNNNNNNNNNNNNNNNNNNNNNNNNNNNNNNNNNNNNNNNNNNNNNNNNNNNNNNNNNNNNNNNNNNNNNNNNNNNNNNNNNNNNNNNNNNNNNNNNNNNNNNNNNNNNNNNNNNNCGCGGGAGAUCGGCUGGACGGCGGCGUCGCCGUUGGCGGCGGGGUGGCGCGGCGGCGCCUGCUUGGCCCAGAUAUGGGCCCUUCGGGCCCCAUCUGGGUCUGGGCGGGCCGACGGCGGGGCGGGUCGACGGCGUGGCUCCCAGGAGGCGGGGGAGCGGCGAUGGGCGUUGGGGUGCUGGCGGUGCUGGCGCUGCCCUGCUGCAGCGUGGCCGGCGGGGCUUAGCGGGCCCGAUUCGGGCCUGGCCGGGCCAGGGUGGCCUGACAUGCCCUGCUGCUGCGUCCGGACGGCGACCGUGACGGUGCCGGAGGCUCAAGCCUCCUGCACAACGGCGGAGGAGGUGGUUCCCUCCCGCGCGGCUACGGCGCUGCUGCUCCCAUCGUCCAACGCCGCCUCCUCGUUCUCUUGGCCUCGUGGUGGCGAUCUCGGUGAGGCGGCGUGGGUGGCGUUGCAACCGCGGUGGCGCAUGCUGGUGGGCGGUGGGCGGCGAGCUGGUUGGUUGGCUUCGAUCCGGUUGGGCGGUGGGGUUUGGAGUUGGGAGAAAUCCUUGCCGGAUCUUCCGGCUCCGGUGCGGUGACGCCUGCGGGUGCCACCAUUCCUCCCUGGAGGGUGUCGGUGGUCUUCAUUCCCCUCUUCCCUCCGUGUGCCGGGGGAAACCCUAGGAUACGUCUGGGCAGCAGCGUCGUCGGCGUCGUUUCCUUCCUGGAGGUGCUGCUUGGUACACGGAGGAUCGGAGCCUAGGAUCGUGGUGGGUAGAUUUCCGGAGGGCGCAGCGGUUGUAGGUCAUUCGCGUCUGUCGAGCUGCCGGUGCUGGCAUUGUUUCUUUUUCUUUUUCUUUGGCUUAUUGUGCUGCUCGCCCCAGCGUUUGCUCUGUAAUCGGUGUUGGUGCUUUGGAAUACAAAGCGGGGGGAAACCCUUUUUCGGUAAUUCACCUCAAAGGCAUUCACUAGUUACUAUGAGGAUCAUGGAAUUGAGCACUUUCUCACAGCUCCAUACACGCCUCAACAGAAUGGGGUAGUAGAGAGGAGAAAUCAAACUGUCGUCGGCAUGGCUAGGAGCUUGCUGAAGACAAUGGGGAUGCCAGCAAAAUUCUGGGGUGAGGCGGUGACCACAGCUGUGUAUCUUCUGAACCGGUCUCCAACAAAGAGUGUAAAAGGGAGAACGCCGUAUGAAGCAUGGCAUGAGAGGAAGCCCUCUGUCUACCAUCUGCGUAUGUUUGGCUGUGUUGCACAUGUGAAACGAGUUGGGCCUGUCAGACGAAACUUUCUGACAGGAGUACACAAAUGGUGUUUAUUGGGUAUGAACAAGGCUCAAAGGCAUAUCGCUUCUAUGAUCAAGAGACAAAGAAGUUAGUGGUAUCUCAGGAUGCAGUGUUUGAGGAGGACCGAUAAUGGGAUUGGCAGCCUACCCUCUGACAGAGAACAACCCAGUACACUCGCUCACUGUUCACUAUCCAGUUUGUGUCUCGACAAAAGAAAGCGGCAUAAACGCUGCAGCAGCAGAAAAACAUAGGAAAGACCCUGCUGCAACGGCAGAGCCAGUGACCCCCGCCGCAACAGCAAAAGGGCAAGAUUCUACUGCCACAGUAGCAGCACCUCUACCGGCAGGAAAGACACGCAAUGCUGGCAAUGGGGCUGCACUCCCACUAGAUCUGUCUGCACCGUCACCUGUCUCUGCACUCCAAGCGACACCGUGCUCGUCGCGCUCGCAAGGGAGCCCAUGGUCUGAGCCAUCACAGGGGCCUCAAGGAAAUCGUCCUCUUGGUGAAAUUUAUGAGGAAACAGCAGAGGUCGAUGCAGCUUACUCUGGAUUGUGUCUUUUUGGCAUGGAAGAGCCAACAAAUCAUACUGAAGCUAUGAAAGAAGAGUGUUGGCAAGGUGCUAUGAGGGCAGAGUUGAGCUCUAUUGAAGCUAAUGGUACAUGGAAGUUGUGUGAUCUUCCGAAGGGUCACAAACCUAUUGGUCUUAAAUGGGUGUAUAAACUGAAAAAAGACCCAUCUGGUGUUGUGGUCAAGCACAAGGCCAGAUUAGUUGAGAAUGGAUUUGUCCUGUUGCUAGACUUGAAUCGGAAAGACUGCUUGUUGCUAUUGCUGCACAAAGAGGAUGGGAAAUGCACCACAUGGAUGUUAAGUCUGCAUUUUUGAAUGGGAAUUUAGCUGACGAGGUGUAUGUGAGCCAACCUCCAGGGUAUGAAAUUCCAGGACAGGACAGCAAGGUGUACAAGCCUCUAUGGACUCUGCAAGCUCCAAGAGCAUGGAAUUUCAAACUUGACACCACUCUUAGGCAGCUGGGUUUUGUGAAGUGUCCCUCUGAAUCUGGAAUGUACAGAAAGCAGCAAGGUGACAAUGUUCUGAUUGUUGGUAUCCAUGUACAGAAUUCAGAUAUAGGUGAUUUCAAAAGACAAAUGAAGUCAAUGUUCAGCAUGAAUGAUCUUGGCUUGCUCAGUUACUACCUUGGCAUAGAGGUAAAGCAAGAUGACCAGGGCAUCACUCUGCCAGUCUGGAUAUGCAGCUAGAAUCCUGAACAAGAUGGGUAUGGAAACUGCAACCCCUCUCAGACCCCCAUGGAGGCAAGACUGAAACUGAAAAAAGAGAGCUUGAGCCCACAAGUUGGCGCCACACUGUAGAGAAGUGUGGUUGGAAGUCUGAGGUACCUAACUCACACUCGACCAGACAUUUGUUAUUCUGUUGGAUACGUGAGUAGGUUCAUGGAGAAACCAACUUCAGAGCAUCUGGCUGCAUUAAACAUAUUCUAAGGUAUGUGAAGGGAAAACUGAACCUUGGGUGUUUUUACAAGAAAGGAACAGAAGAGAGACUGCAGCUGGUUGGGUACAGUGACAGUGAUUUUGCAGCGGAUAUUGAUGACCGAAACUCCGAAAGAGCACUACAGGGGUGACCGUCUAUCUUGGUAACAGUCCAGUUACCUGGGUGUCCCAGAAACAAAAGACUGUGGCUUUACCUUCAUGUGAACCAGAGUUUAUUGCUGCAAGUGCAGGUGUGUGCCAAAGCAUUUGGCUUUGGAGGCUUCUAGCAGAAUUGUUCGACAAGGAGCCAGACAAGGUAGUGCUCAAGAUUGAUAAUCAAUCUUCUAUCUCCUUAUGCAAAAAUCCGGUGUUCCGCGAGAGAAGUAAACACAUUGAUGCACGCUAUCGUUUUGUGAGAGAAUGUGUUGAUGAAGGGAAGGUUGCAGUGGAGCAUGUUAGAACAGAGGAUCAGCUUGCCGACAUUUUAACCAAGCCAUUGCCGAGGCUUAGGUUUCAGGAAAUGAAGGAGAAGAUUGGGUUACAAAGUGUCAAGCUGGUGCAACAAGCUUAAGGAGGUGAAAUGUUAAGUUAAUCCGGUUGCCCCUGUUCUAUUUUUUCAGUUAGUUUUCUGAAUAAUUCUGAAACAUGCUGUGUACACGCUCAGGUUCAGUUUAGACAGAUUAGUGUCAGGCUAGUUCUUUCUUCAGACUUAGUCAUAGUUUCCUUUGUUUGUUGUAAUCGUGGGUGUACUUAGGGGUGUACUGGCCACGACUCUGUCUGUGGGAUGGUGCGGGUCAAACGGAUCGUGAGCAGUGCCUGCUGCGAGUUUGUUACACAGAAUAAAAGGAAGAAACGAAAAGACGCAAAGAUUACACGUCGCAAAACUCUGUCUCCUCUCUGUUUUUCCUGUUCGUCGGUGUUCUUCAGAGUUGAGACUGGAUCCACUCUCCCGUGUGUGUGUGUGUGUGUGUGUGUUGAUCUGGGGCUGAUCUAACAGUUCCAAUGGGCCAGAAUGAAUCGUCAGGUGGAAGAUUGGGUCAGACUGUGCGGUCUGCCAACAAGCUAAGCAUGACAAUAUUGUCCCCGCUGGUCUUUUGCAGCCACUGCCCGUGCCAACGAGACUAUGGAAGGACAUUACUAUGGACUUUAUUGAUGGACUACCAAAAUCUGAGGGAUAUGAUGUGAUUUUGGUUGUGGUGGAUUGCUUGACAAAAUAUGCCCAUUUCUUGCCAUUGAAACAUCCAUUUUCUCGGAAAGGGGAGUACCCCGGCCUCUUCAUCACAAGAUGCACACAACCGAACCAUUGAAACAUCCAUACACCGCUCAAUCGGUAGCCUCUGCUUUUGUAGAUAAUGUGGUGUGUUUACAUGGAGUUCAGCGUCCAUUGUCUCGGAUCGAGAUUGAGUUUUCACAAGUCAUUUUUGGAGGAAGUUGUUUAAGGAAGUGGGCACCAAAUUAUGCUACUCGACAGCGUAUCACCCGCAGACGGACGGACAAUCUGGACGUGUGAACCAGUGCUUAGAGCAAUAUUUGCGAUGUUCAGUACGCGACAGUCCAGCAAAAUGGAAGAAAUGGUUGCCGAUGGCAGAAUUUUGGUAUAACUCUUCCUACCAUACAUCCCUGGGCUGCACCCCAUUUAAAGCUCUAUAUGGAAUUGAUCCUAAUUUUGGCACAAUGCUACCUUGGAGGAUGAAUUGGACUCUUCAUUAGCAGAGCUAUCAGCUGAUCGUGCUGACUUCCUGGCUUUGCUCCGGGAGCAUCUUUGCCGGGCACAGGAGCGCAUCAAGGCUCAAGCUGACAAGCAUCACCAAGACUGUGCUUUCGCGGUAGAUGAAGAUGUGCUCCUCAAGCUCGAGCCAUAUGCUCAAUCGUCACUUGUCAAUUGACCAUGCACCAAACUGGCUCUCAAAUUCUAUGAGCCCAUUAUAAAGUUCUGGAACGAAUUGGAGCUGCAGCUUAUCGGUUGGAUCUUCCCCCCUCAAGCCUCAUACACUCCAUGUUUCAUGUGUCACAGCUGAAGCCAUUCACCGCUAACUACUCUCCAGUCUUAUCCGAGUUGCCGGAGCCGCCAGAUCUCUGCGCCGUGCCACUGCAACCGUUGGCUAUUCUAGAAUGCCGAUCAAGAAGGGGAACACGGCGAAACAGCAGGUCAAGGUACGCCGGAGCGGCAUCCCGGAUGAACACACGAUGUGGGAAGAUUACUAUGUCCUGCACUCGCGUUUUCCGGCGGCCGCUCUCUGGGAAGAAGCUCAAUCUCAACGCGGGGGGAGUGUCACGUCCCCACCUCUGAGUGGGUCGCAGGUGGCGACGGACUACCAGGUAGCAGGACCCGACCCCACUUGUCAGGGACCUCAAGUGGCUGGUUGACCCAGCAAGGAAGGCAUGUGUGCUGUAGCUGUGGUGGGCGUGUACUUAAACUUCAGACUGUACUGUGUAGUUGUUAUUGUUGGUGUGAGUUGAGAUUUAUGUAUCUGCUAGAGGGCUCAAGUGUAAAAUGUACAUAUAAUAUAGAUACAGAAUAGAGAGAUGGAUCGGAUGAGAUCCAGAAAAUUCCCCAUUCAUCGCCUCUGCCCUCUCUCUCUCUGUUCUUCAACCCAGAUCACUCAAAUCUUCCUAAUUUUCGUAUGGAAAUCAAUAUGGCAUCGGAGCAGGUUCGUUCCUUUGCGCUCUCCCUGCAAUUUUGAGCGCAGAUUGGCCGCCGACGAGGUGCUGUGUCGCCAUAGUCUGGAGCUUGCGGUCGUUGCUGUCGUGUGUGGUGCUGUGGUCUGUCCGCGUCCCUGUCUUCAUCCCCUCUGCAGUCCGCCGGAGUGAGGUGCUGCACCACCGCCGCUGGACCCGGACAUAGGUCUGCAGCGCUGUUCUGGGUUGGUGUCAAGUGGUUUGCGACGUGGUCAACUUCACACCAACACUCCCCCUCUGCAGUGAAAAACCAUUUGAAAGAAUUCACUCUGAUGUGUGGGGACCCUGUGAGGUUCACUCAGUUUCUGGGCACCGGUGGUUUGUGACCUUUAUUGAUUGCUUUAGUCGCUACACUUGGCUUUAUCUUCUGAAGCAUAAGAGUGAUGUAUUAUCUGUUUUCAAAGACUUGUGUGCCCUUAUUAAAAAUCAGCAUGCAACUACUGUUAAAAUUCUACGUACAGACAAUGGUACUGAAUAUGUUAAUCAUGAGUUUGAAUUGUUUCUUGCUUUGAAUGGUAUUGAACAUCAGACAUCAUGUGUCAAUACACCAGAGCAAAAUGGUGUUGCUGAACGUAAAAAUAGACAUUUGCUCGAAGUUGCACGUUCAUUGAUGUUUACAAUGAAUGUGCCCAAAUUCCUUUGGGGUGAGGCAAUUAAAACUGCAACUUACUUGAUAAAUCGCAUGCCUCUUCGUGUUUUAGGUUACAAAACUCCUGCUGAAUGUCUUUUAAAUUCUAAUGAAUUUAUGGUUCCUCCAAAGGUCUUUGGGAGUGUUUGUUUUGUGCAUGACUAUAGAAAUUCGGUUGGGAAAUUAGAUCCCCGUGCUCUAAAAUGUGUGUUUAUGGGUUAUUCCCCCUCAAAAAAGGGCUAUAGAUGCUGGUGUCCUUCAGAGCAUCGUUUUUUUGUGAGCAUGGAUGUAACUUUCCGUGAAAAUGAACCGUAUUAUGGGUCAAAUGUUGGGUCUGGUUUUUCCUUGUCACCUCCUGAUGAGGAGCAAGAAAGGGGAAGUGAAGGGCCUGUCCUUGUUCUUGCUCCCACUUUAGGUGAUUCCCCGUCUACUGAUAACACUCAAAAUCAGGGGGAGGAGAAUCAUGGUGUUAGCGAUGAUAACUCUUGUCAUGGAGACGAGGGCGAUGUCACUGGACACUUAUCACUUCCAUCUCAAGGUGAGGAGUCUCAAAUGCGUGAGGGCCCAGGUACCAAUACUAUGCCUUCUAAUUCUGUAGCUCCUACUAGCACAUCAGGGCAGAGUGAUAAUCAACUUUCUACUCCUGUAGACAAUUUACCUAUUGCCUUACGAAGACCAACUAGAACUCGAAACACACCAGGAUAUUUUAAAGACUACAAACAUGAUAUAGCCAAUUACAUCUCCUACAAAUAUUGUAGUCCAUCCCUCCAAGGUUUUAUUGCUUCUCUAGAUCUUGUUUCUAUACCAAAUAACUGGAAAGUAGCCUUGGAAGACCCAAAAUGGAAGGAAGCAAUGCUGGAUGAGAUGAGAGCAUUGGAGAAAAACAAAACUUGGGAGCUCGUGAAUCUACCUCCAGGUAAGCGACCGGUGGGAUGCAAAUGGGUGUUUACUAUUAAGCACACCCCGGAGGGUAAGAUAGAUAGAUACAAAGCACGCCUUGUAGCCAAGGGGUACACUCAGACUUAUGGUAUAGACUAUGAUGAAACCUUUGCACCUGUGGCAAAGAUGAGCUCUGUGAGGACUCUCAUAUCUUGUGCAGUUAAUUUUGAUUGGAGCAUCUACCAGAUGGAUGUAAAAAAUGCAUUUCUUCAUGGCGAUCUUCAUGAAGAGGUGUAUAUGCAAAUUCCACCAGGUUUUGAGUCCAGUCGUAAUAUAGGAAAAGUACUACGCCUACAUCGUUCCUUGUAUGGGCUGAAACAAUCACCAAGGGCAUGGUUUGAUCGUUUUAGACAAGCUAUGUUGAAAAGAGGCUAUCGACAGAGCAAUGCUGACCACACAUUGUUCUAUAAACAUUCCAAUAACAAGGUAGCAAUCUUGAUAGUUUACGUCGAUGAUAUUGUGAUGACAGGCAAUGAUACCGAGGAAAUUGCUGGCCUGAAGCAUCAUCUUGCACAAGAGUUUGAAGUGAAGGAUCUAGGACACUUGAGGUACUUCCUUGGCAUAGAAGUCUUGCGUAGCAAAAAAGGUAUAUUUCUAACACAAAGGAAGUACAUCUUAGACCUGUUCAAAGAAACUGGCAUGUACGGUUCAAAACCGGCUGCUACUCCCAUUGAACAGAAUCACAGAUUAAGUAGUGAUGUAGGGAAUCCGGUUGAUAGAGAGCGCUACCAGAGACUUGUGGGUAAAUUAAUUUAUCUCUCCCACACUCGUCCCGAUAUUGCAUUUGCCGUAAGCGUUGUGAGUCAAUUCAUGCAUAACCCAAGAACGGCUCACCUGGAUGCUGUUAAUAGAAUCCUACGGUACCUUAAAGGGUGUCCAGGGAAAGGUCUUCUCUAUACAAAGCAAGGGAAUUUACAAGUUGAGUGUUAUACAGAUGCGGACUGGGCUGGUUCCCUAGAUGAUCGGCGAUCCACUUCUGGCUAUUGUGUAUUUGUUGGCGGAAAUUUAGUCUCUUGGCGAAGUAAAAAACAAAAUGUUGUAGCUAGGUCAACUGCCGAGGCUGAGUCUAGAUCCAUGGCACAUGGCCUAUGUGAGCUAUUAUGGCUACAGAUUCUUCUAACAGAGCUGAGGUUAUGUCAUAGUAAGCCUUUGAUGCUUUACUGUGAUAACAAAGCAGCAAUUGAUAUUGCAAAUAAUCCGGUGCAACACGAUCGUACUAAACAUGUUGAAGUUGAUCGUCAUUUCAUCAAAGAGAAGCUGGAUCGAGGAGUGGUUUGUGUACCAUAUGUGACCUCAGCAAGUCAGAUAGCAGAUGUUCUAACAAAAGGCCUACCAGAAAAGUUGUUCUCUAUCUUUUGUAGCAAGAUGGGUUUAUCUGAUGUGUUUGCCCCAUCUUGAGGGGGAGUGUUGGUGUGAGUUGAGAUUUAUGUAUCUGCUAGAGGGCUCAAGUGUAAAAUGUACAUAUAAUAUAGAUACAGAAUAGAGAGAUGGAUCGGAUGAGAUCCAGAAAAUUCCCCAUUCAUCGCCUCUGCCCUCUCUCUCUCUGUUCUUCAACCCAGAUCACUCAAAUCUUCCUAAUUUUCGUAUGGAAAUCAAUAGUUAUCUCUGAAGAAAAGGAAACUCUGAAUCUCUCUCUGUGUUCUCUGUGUCGCUCAUCCCCUUUCGCUACCAACUCCCCCAGUUCAUCCCCUUCUUCUCAACUUCCUGUGAGAUCCUUCCUUGGGUCCUCACAAAGACCCAUGCACGACCCUCAUUGAGGAUAGUUUUGAGGAGGGCAUGAGAGUUCAGGUGCGUGCUAUCAAACGUGCAGGCGCUCCUGUGCUUCCAAAUCAUCCAGAACGUGAGGAGCACAGGAACACUUGCACAUGCCGGCCGCAACCAGUAGUUGAGCUUCCAAGCGCGGCAACAAUUGGAGCCCAUGGAAGGUCUUCCUGUAACAUGAUUGGGCAGAGUAGAUUCCCGACUCCGUCCAUCUCCAAACAAGGCAGUAUGGCUCAUCCGAAAGGUUGUAUGUGUCCACUGCCCGCCAGAGCAGCACGAACUUUUUUUUUGAACCGGGUUAAUCCCCUUUCCAUUAACUGAAUAACGGAAAUGAUCAGCACAAACUGAUGGAGGUCUGGCAGCGAAAGGCCACCAAGGAUGUCGUCAAUCCAAGCCCUGUUCUGGAGCCCCAUGGUCACAGUUUAUACUUUGCGUCGACGCUUAGGAACCUUGGCGAGGAUGCCAGGAACGAUCUCCGCCACCGCACUGCCGCCAAGUCAACGGUCAGACCAAAAUCAGCAUGACUAGCCACUGCAAAGCUUGGUGCGAAUGCAGGCAUGGCACAGGGCAUGCUCUGAGGGAGAAGCUUGGAUGUCGAGGCAACUCCAAGACUUGGAUGGAUCGGUUUUGCUGAACCAAAGUCAUCGCCCAUACGGUCGGGGUCCAGGCAGCCAAGCCCAAUAGGGUGACGCGGCUCCAAUAGACCAGGCAAUGGCCACCCUUGGUUUUCUUCUGCCCAGCCCAGAUAAAGCCGCUGGGAAUUUUGCCGCAUUGCUUAAUGACCUUCUUUUGCGGGGUGAGAGCGAGCAGCUGGUGAAUAGGAAUGGAGGUGAGCACAGAUUGGACAAGAGUGGUAAGACCAGCCAUGGCAAGGAUGUGUGCCUUCCAAGUCGGGAGCCUGUUGGUGACACACUCGACAAGGGGUUGCAGCUGCACACAGGUGGCCGCCUGACCGAGUGACUGUCAGAGGGAUGCGGAGACACUUGAAUGGGAAUUCAGUAAUCAGGCAACCGAACUGGGAGAUUUGCUCGAUAUCCUUGGCCGAGUAGUUCAGGGUCAUGGCGGAGCUCUUCAGAAGAUUGGUGACAAGCCCAGGCUACACCAAACACAGACAGCAAGCCCUUGAUGGUGUCGAGGUCCUGCCUGGAGGGAUGGCAGAGGACAACGACAACGUCAGUGUACAGAAAGGGGAGGGGGGGGGGGGGCGCCAGGAUUUGCCUACAGUGGCUGAAGGAAACUGAAGUGCAGGGGGCGGAGAACUAAGCGGCAGAGGGCAUCCACGGCAACAAUGAAAAUUUGCGGUGAAAGCGGGCCCCUUGCUGUAGGCCUUUUCAGUGCCAUAUCGGUGCGCCUGGCGUGCCAUUGAUCAUGAUCCUAGUGCUGGCAGAAGCAGAAGACCACACGAUACACAGCCAGCCACAGAACCUCUCACUGAAGCCAAUGCGUCAAAGAACCUGGAGAACAAAUGCCCAGGAGAAAGCUUUGGUGUGGUCGAGCUUUAACAGCGCGCGGCAGCUGGUGGAGGAGCCGCGCUGAUUGCCAGACCAACAAAAAGUUGUCGUGCAGGCAGCAGCCACCGAUGGACGUGCUCUAAUUGUGCGACUAGAGAACUCAGCCUAGGCGCCAAAUGGAGGGAGAGCAGCUUGGCAAAUAAUUAGCCGGUGAUGCGGAUGAGGCUUAUGGGCCUGAAAUCGCUCAGGCAAUCCACGUCAGGUAUCUUCGGCAAGAGGGUCAGCAGAGCCUGGUUAAGGACGUGGAAACCACUGCCUCUCAGCUCAAAGAGCUGCUCAAACACAGCCACAAUCAGGCGGAGAAAGCGUGCAGGAAAUCGGUGGUGAGGGCCCAGAGCCUUGUGCUCCGACAUCCUUUUAAAAGCCUGCCAAAUUUUGGUCUCGCUGAAUGGGGCAUCAAGCUCGGACAGAUCAGAAGGCUCGAAGAGAGAUGCAAGGUUCACGGAGAAGUUGCGCACAACCUCAGUACCGAGCAGCCACUCAAAGUGGGCGAAAGCCUCAGGAGCCAUGCCAUCCAUGUCCGUGAUCAGGGUGUCACGACGCUUCAGACUGAAGAUCCUAUCUUUCUGGCGAUGGAAGGAGGUAUGCAAUAUGGAAGAAAGAUGUGUUGUUGUCGCCGUCUUUAAGCCAGUUCACUCGAGAGCUUUGGCAAGCGAUCGGUCGUCAAGCGAUGCAAGCCUGAGGUAGAAUUGCUUGAGGGAUUUGUGGAAAUCAGAUUGGUCGGGGGAGAGCGGCCUGAAAUCAGUUAGCACAAAAGUUUACGCAAUUUCUCAAUCUAUGUAGCCAUUUCUUAUGAGCGACUAACCUAAAAGGUUAAUCUUACAAGAUUAACAGGAGAGAAGUUAUAGGUUCUCUUGCUCCUAGAAAAGAUGCUCAAAGAGGGAAGCUGUAUUUCAAAGCAAUGCUGAGAUAUGCAAUGCAUUUAACCACCCAUAUUCGCCGUCAAUUCAUCACCCAUGUUCUGUUUAAUGUAAAGAUGAAGGGGGACAGUUUCUCGAGUUUCAUACAAGAAUAGUCAAGAAUCAAGAUUUGUGUUCUCCCUAGAAUACUUAUGGUUUGCCUUUCCUCUAUAGAAGACUUAAUAUUUACUAACCAAAUACUGCAACCAAACUGCAGCAUCUACUAUUAUGUUAUGAUAAUGUCCUUUGCUAAUGGACAAGGGUUUAAGGGUUUAAGCUUCAGUAACAUCCUUAUUUUUCUUUGAGAUCUUAAGUAGCUAUGACGUUAUUUUACCCCAUACUCAGCCCCAUUUACGUUGGAGUAAAAGUUAAUAUAGAAAUUGACUUGGUUGUUCAAGUUCUUCUGAUCUUUUUUGCUUAGUGCACACGGCUUGUCUAGAUUUAUAUGUAGAUUGUUCAGAUUACCAGAUGCUUGCUGCGUAGUUUCCAGUGUGACAAGAUAGCAUCUUCUCUUGAUGCAAUAGAAGAUCCUCCUACAGAACUUGACACCUGAAAGAGAAGAGCAUAAGAGCUGGACUAGUUAAAAGAAAGCACAAACCUGCUUGCAGUCUUGACAAAUUUAGGACUGUAAAUGGAUGCGCAAAAAUAUCAGAAGACAUUGAAGCAGUUUCUUCUAUGUAUAGUUUUGUUAAUUUUAGCACCAGGAUCAUAGUAACAGAUUCACAUUCACAAGAGGAUGAUGCUACCAGUAGAUCAUUUCUUAUCACAGAGCUAGGUACCAUAUGUUAUUGUAGAUAUGUAAGUGUCAUAAGGUAUAUUCACACAAUAUCUUGAGGGACGUUACUUGACGUAUUAUGCUUGAACGUCUUAAGCUCGUACUCCCUCCGUUCGGAAUUACUUGUCACAGAAAUGGAUGUAUCUAGACGUAUUUUAGUUCUAGAUACAUUCAUUUCCGAGACAAGUAAUUCCGAACGGAGGGAGUAGUUCAUAAAGAAGAAUAUCUACAGCUAGGUAAAUAGUACUGCACCAAGAAGUGGUGGUAUCUAGAAAAUCAAACGUCUUACCUCAGAUGUGAUGGUACCAGCCAGAAUCAAUCUUCUCCCCCUAGACUUGGGCAAGAAUAAUGAUUGAUACCGUCCAAUUCCUAUCUCGAGACAUCUAGCUGAUUUUAAACUAGAAAAUUAGAUAAAGGGAUUUCACACAUGACAAGAAAGUGAAUUUGAAAUAUGGAAAUAGUAUGUGUAAUAGGAUAAAUGUAGUCUAUUCAGGACGGCUGGUGAUACACAUACACUUACGACAAGAAGUUAUGACAAGGUAGUUAUAUUUGUUCAUACAAUAGGACAAAAACAGAUUACUACCAGCAAAACAAUUGCAAUUGGAUAAUAAUCCGCAAUCCAUGCACAAAACAUUGAUAAUAGUAAAAUAAAUAAGCACGACAGAACAUCCCUUGCUCCUCUGGUGAUCGUUUUAGCAAACUCAGUCGAACGCUGUCAACCCAAGCUCUAUAAAAAAGAUACUCCCAAACUACUAGCUUAUGCAAGUAAUAAAUGUAAUCUGAGACAAACCUUUUUGUUGGCUGUACUGGACUGGGCAACAAAAGAAAACCUUCUCCUUCCUGACCUCGCCCCCAAAUUUCCCUUUGUGAUAUACGUAUCUGAUUAAUGAAGACGGAACCAGCUCUUAGUCGAAUUCUAACUGUAAUAAGUAAUAGGAGAAGAAGAUGGACGGCGGAGUAAGUAACGCUAGCUGAGAUAUGGGAGCAUAGGGUGAAGAUCCCAGUCUGGAAUUACGUCAAACACCUCCAGUGCAACUCGCAGGUUGCUGCUCUUGCGUGCUAGUAGGUUGAGCGCGUGACCGUGGAGACUGGGUGCGGUACACUUGGGGACAGUGGAGGGGGCGAAGGGCGCUGACUGACCUGCUCGCGGGCGCAGCGCUUGCCGAGCUCCUCGAAGAAGCGGAGGAGGCCGCGGGCAACCACCUACGGGGACGGCUGAGGUCACGUGGUCGUGGACCAGGC
rnacentral:lncRNA from 1 species